rnacentral:rRNA from 1 species
UUGGUUAGUGGCAGACGGGUGAGUAAUGCAUAGGAAUCUACCUAGUAGUAUGGGAUAGCCACUGGAAAUGGUGGGUAAUACCGUAUAAUCCCCGCGGGGGAAAGAUUUAUCGCUAUUAGAUGAGCCUAUGUCGGAUUAGCUAGUUGGUGGGGUAAUGGCCUACCAAGGCAGUGAUCUGUAGCUGGUCUGAGAGGAUGAUCAGCCACACUGGAACUGAGACACGGUCCAGACUCCUACGGGAGGCAGCAGUGGGGAAUAUUGGACAAUGGGCGCAAGCCUGAUCCAGCUAUGCCGCGUGAGUGAGGAAGGCCUUAGGGUUGUAAAACUCUUUCAGUAGGGAAGAUAAUGACGGUACCUA